ensembl:lncRNA novel transcript
AGGGUGCAGGCAGGCUGACCAUCCCAUCGGUUUGCCUGGAACUGUCCUAGUAUUAGCAAUGACAGUCCCAUGUCCCCAGGGCAAACCAGGGUGGUUGGUCACUGAAGUUCAAGUCCCUCUAGACAUUUCCAAACCUAAUUAACAAGUUGGGGAAGCGAGCUGUAACCCGUUUCUCUAGCUCUUUAUUUGUGUGAUUUGGCCAGAAAUUGCUUCAAGAGGAGACGUUCAAAAAGGAACAAAAAAUCAGAACUGAAACAAUGUCGGAGGGCACUUUGGGGUUUCUUCAGCAAAAUGCAAAUCCCUCCAUUAUCUUGUGGUUUAAACCAAAGCUGCCUUUUGGAAACUCCCGCUGAUUCUCCAGCCUCAUGGAGGGUGGCAGGUUCCUCUUUUAAGUGUUCCAGGCUAGGAGUUGCGUGGUUAACGCUGGGGUAAUACACACUCUGUAUUUGCUACCACAGCCCCCCACCCCUAGAAGUCUCCCAAGAGGAAAUCGGUGGUGUGGUCAUGCACAGCUCCUGUGCUCCUGAUGGAGACUGUUGUGGAUCCAGGGCCAUCUAGACAUCUAGGUAUUUUCAGCUUUCUUCCCUUAGGACAAGAGGACCAAGGCCUGAGCAGCCCUGAAUCGCUCCCAUGAUGGCCCAAACAGGCACGGAGGAGGGUGAUUGGUCCCUGAGAAUGUGGAUGCCUGGAGCAGUUCACGGUACUGUCUCUGCCUCGUUCUGAGCCUGCACUGGGGCCUUGGGUCCCUGCAGAGCUGGUGGCCCACAGCUGGUAGCACUGUCCAGGUGCAGGUUUCAAUCAUCUUCCAGAACUGGGAUGACCAGGACAUUUGGGCGUGAAAGGGGCCCUACAAGCCUUAACAGAUACUAAAGAACGUCAGACAAGCAGAAUGAGGAUGGCCCCAGGCAAGGUGGACCCCACCCCAGCUGCAGGGAACAGCAAGGCUGCAGGUACCUGCUCAUUUCCAGCUCCCAGCCUCCCUCAGAACACAGACUGCCUUGCCAUUUUCUUAGCGAGCGGUUUGCAGCAAAGUGCUAUUUUGCUCUCGAACGCCUUCCUUUCCAAUUGGGACAAACGGCUAUGAAUACGGCACACCCUGUUUUGCAUUCAAACUGUUGGGAAAGUUUUGCGGCUGUAAAUAUCAUGCUCUUGGUGCUCAAGACAGAAUUAUUAUUACUUUUUCCUUAGUUCUUGGAACCAGUGAUAAAUUAAACAUUUCUUUUGCCCCCC